rnacentral:rRNA from 1 species
GCAGUCGAGCGGACCAAUUAGAAAGCUUGCUUUUUAAUUGGUUAGCGGCGGACGGGUGAGUAACACGUGGGUAACCUGCCCUAUAGACCGGGAUAACUCGCGGAAACGCGUGCUAAUACCGGAUAACACACCGAAGCGCAUGCUUCGGGGUUGAAAGAUGGUUCUGCUAUCACUAUAGGAUGGGCCCGCGGCGCAUUAGCUAGUUGGUGGGGUAACGGCCUACCAAGGCGACGAUGCGUAGCCGACCUGAGAGGGUGAUCGGCCACACUGGGACUGAGACACGGCCCAGACUCCUACGGGAGGCAGCAGUAGGGAAUCUUCCACAAUGGGCGAAAGCCUGAUGGAGCAACGCCGCGUGAGCGAAGAAGGUCUUCGGAUCGUAAAGCUCUGUUGUAAGGGAAGAACAAGCGCAGCAGUCACUGGCUGCGCCCUGACGGUACCUUACUAGAAAGCCACGGCUAACUACGUGCCAGCAGCCGCGGUAAUACGUAGGUGGCAAGCGUUGUCCGGAAUUAUUGGGCGUAAAGCGCGCGCAGGCGGUCUCUUAAGUCUGAUGUGAAAGCCCCCGGCUCAACCGGGGAGGGUCAUUGGAAACUGGGAGACUUGAGUGCAGGAGAGGGAAGUGGAAUUCCAUGUGUAGCGGUGAAAUGCGUAGAGAUAUGGAGGAACACCAGUGGCGAAGGCGGCUUCCUGGCCUGUAACUGACGCUGAGGCGCGAAAGCGUGGGGAGCAAACAGGAUUAGAUACCCUGGUAGUCCACGCCGUAAACGAUGAGUGCUAGGUGUUAAGGGGGUUUCCGCCCCUUAGUGCUGCAGCUAACGCAUUAAGCACUCCGCCUGGGGGAGUACGGUCGCAAGACUGAAACUCAAAGGAAUUGACGGGGGCCCGCACAAGCGGUGGAGCAUGUGGGUUUAAUUCGAAGCAACGCGAAGAACCUUACCAGGUCUUGACAUCCCGCUGACCGCCAUGGAGACAUGGCUUUCCCUUCGGGGACAGCGGUGACAGGUGGGUGCAUGGUUGUCGUCAGCUCGUGUCGUGAGAAUGUUUGGGGUUAAGUCCCGCAACGAGCGCAACCCUUUGUCCUUAGUUGCCAUC